rnacentral:rRNA from 1 species
AUUGAACGCUGGCGGCAGGCUUAACACAUGCAAGUCGAACGAGUGGCGGACGGGUGAGUAAUGCUUGGGAAUCUAGCUUAUGGAGGGGGAUAACUACGGGAAACUGUAGCUAAUACCGCGUAACAUAGGAUGAGCCCAAGUGGGAGUAGUUAGUUGGUGAGGUAAAGGCUCAACAAGACGACGAUCCCUAGCUGAUCUGAGAGGAUGACAAGCCACACUGGGACUGAGACCCGGCCCAGACGCCUACGGGAGGAAGGAGUGGGGAAUAUUGCGCAAUGGGGGCAACCUGACGCAGCCAUGCCGCGUGAAUGAAGAAGGCCUUCGGGUUGUAAAGUUCUUUCGGUAGCGAGGCGUUAACUACAGAAGAAGCACCGGCUAACUCCGUGCCAGCCGCCGCGGUAAGUC